GGGGAGUGAGGGGUCAGGUGAGGGGGUGACCGCGGGGGUGGUGGUCAGGAGGGCGAAGUGACCUCAGAGUGACCACCAGGGUGGCACAAAGUGACCCCCAGAGUGGGGGGGAGUGACCUCAGAAUGAGAAGGAACGACCCCAAAGUGACCACCAAGUGACCACCAAGUGACCCCAGAGUGGGGGGGAGUGACCCCUGGACACUGGACCCUGCUGGACACUGAGGGGGUGACCACCAGGGUGGUGGUCAGGAGGGCGAAGUGACCACCAGAGUGGCACAAAGUGACCCCCAGAGUGGCACAAAGUGACCCCCAGAGUGGUGGGGAGUGACCCCUGGACACUGGACCCUGCUGGACAUCGAGGGAGUGACCACCAGGGUGGUGGCCAGGAGGGCAAAGUGACCACCAGGUGACCACCAGGUGACCACCAGGGUGGCAUGAAGUGACCCCAAAGUGGCUCAAAGUGACCCCAGACUGGUGGGGAGUGACCCCUGGACACUGGACCCUGCUGGACAUCGAGAGAGUGACCACCAGGGUGGUGGUCAGGAGGGCAAAGUGACCCCAAAGUGACCACCAGGGUGGCACGAAGUGACCCCAGAGUGGGGGGGAGUGACCCCUGGACACUGGACCCUGCUGGACAUUGAGGGGGUGACCACUGGGGUGGUGGCCAGGAGGGCAAAGUGACCACCAGGUGACCCCCAGAGUUGGGGGGAGUGACCUCAGAAUGAGGAGGAACGACCCCAAAGUGACCACCAAGUGACCACCAAGUGACCCCAGAGUUGUGGGGAGUGACCCCUGGACACUGGACCCUGCUGGACACUGAGGGGGUGACCACCAGGGUGGUGGCAAGGGGGCCAAAGUGACCAUGAAGUGACCCUGAAAGUGGUCACGAACUGACCCUCAAAGUGACCCCAAAGUGGCUCAAAGUGACCCCAGUGUGGUGGGGAGUGACCCCUGGACACUGGACCCUGCUGGACAUCGAGAGAGUGACCACCGGGGUGGUGGCCAGGAGGGCGAAGUGACCACCAGAGUGGCACAAAGUGACCCCCAGAGUGGCACAAAGUGACCCCCAGAGUUGGGGGGAGUGACCCCUGGACACUGGAGCCUGCUGGACAUUGAGGGGGUGACCACUGGGGUGGUGGCCAGGGGGCCAAAGUGACCACCAGGUGACCAUCAGGUGACCACCAAAGUGGCAUGAAGUGACCCCAGAGUGGUGGGGAGUGACCCCUGGACACUGGAGCCUGCUGGACAUCGAGGGAGUGACCACCAGGGUGGUGGCCAGGAGGGUGAAGUGACCACCAGAGUGGCCAACAGAGUGGCACAAAGUGACCCCAGACUGGUGGGGAGUGACCCCUGGACACUGAAUCCCUGCUGGACAUUGAGGGGGUGACCACUGGGGUGGUGGCCAGGAGGGCAAAGUGACCACAAAGUGACCACCAGAGUGGCAUGAAGUGACCCCAGAGUGGUGGGGAGUGACCCCUGGACACUGGACCCUGCUGGACAUCGAGAGAGUGACCACCGGGGUGGUGGCCAGGAGGGCAAAGUGACCACCAGGUGACCACCAGGGUGGCACCAAGUGACCCCAGAGUUGGGGGGAGUGACCCCUGGACACUGGACCCUGCUGGACACUGAGGGAGUGACCACCGGGGUGGUGGUCAGGAGGGCGAAGUGACCACCAGGUGACCACCAGGGUGGCACGAAGUGACCCCAAAGUGGCUCAAAGUGACCCCAGAGUGGUGGAGAGUGACCCCUGGACACUGGACCCUGCUGGACAUUGAGGGAGUGACCACCAGGGUGGUGGCCAGGAGGGCGAAGUGACCACCAGGUGACCACCAGAGUGGUGGGGAGUGACCCCAGAGUUGGGGGGAGUGACCUCAGAAUGAGGAGGAACGACCCCAAAGUGACCACCAAGUGACCAGCAAGUGACCCCAGAGUGGUGGGGAGUGACCCCUGGACACUGGAGCCUGCUGGACAUUGAGGGGGUGACCACCAGGGUGGUGGCCAAAGUGACCCCAGAGUGACCCCAAAGUGGCACAAAGUGACCCCAAAAUUGGGGGGAGUGACCCCUGGACACUGAAUCCCUGCUGGACAUUGAGGGGGUGACCACCGGGGUGGUGGCCAGGAGGGCGAAGUGACCACCAGGUGACCACCAGGUGACCACAGGGUGGCAUGAAGUGACCCCAAAGUGGCUCAAAGUGACCUCAGAGUGGUGGGGAGUGACCCCUGGACACUGGACCCUGCUGGACACUGAGGGGGUGACCACCGGGGUGGUGGCCAAAGUGACCCUAGAGUGACCACCAGAAUGACCCCAGAGUGGUGGGGAGUGACCCCAAAAUGCUGGGAAAUGACCCCAAAGUGGGGGGAAUGACCCCAAAGUGACCCCAGAGUGGGGGGGAGUGACCCCAAAGUGACCCCUGAGUGGGGGGGAGUGACCCCAAAGUGACCCCAGAGUGGGGGGAAGUGACCCCUGGACACUGGACCCUGCUGGGAUGGAGGGGACCGACCCCAAAAUGCAGCAAAACGACCCCAAAAUGGUGGGGAACCCCCCCCAAAAAAAAAUUGAGUGACAAAUUUCGGGGUCCUGGACCACCCAGGUGACAAAUUUGGGGUCCCCGUUUAAAACCCAGCUCCAAAAAAGCCAAAAAACCCCAAAAUUUUAUGCAAAAAAAAAAAAUUCUGAUUCUUGGGGGGCUCCCCCCCCCCCCCCCCCCAAAUUUUGGGCCCUUGGGGUAAAUUUGGGGGUCCUAAGGCCUUGGUGGAAAAUUUGGGGGAUUUUUUUGGGGGGUCCCCCUGAUUUUUUUGGGGUCUCUCUGGAUUUUUUGGGGUCCCCGUCAAAUUUUUGGGGUCCCUCCUGAUUUUUUUUUUUGGGGGGGGGUUCCCCUGAAUUUUUUGGGGUCCCCCCAAUAUUUUUUUGGGGGGUUUUUGUAGAUUUUAGGAUUUUGGGGGGGGGGGGGAGGACCCCCCUUAGGUUGUAG